UUUGAAGAGUUUUAGUUCUUACAAUGUAGUAAGAAGAAUAGUUGAGCACCAAAAGGUAAGUACUAUUCCUAUUAUUAGGUUAUUUGAUCAGGAUUUCUUUCCGUAGUUUCCUUUAUUUCUCUUAUUUUCUCUUAUUUUAUCAUUUUUUUAAUGAUGUAAGAAAUGUAAACUGUAAGGAAAGUAAAUAACUAGUGUUAAGAUUGAUGUUUAACAGGGACGACAGACGAAGAGAACUAUAAGUU
rnacentral:lncRNA from 1 species